UCGGCCCCGCCCCGCGCAGCCGCGCUGGGGCCCCGCGCACCUGUGCGGACCCCGCCCUUCACACCUGUGCCGGCCCCGCCCCGCCCCGCCCGCGCCCGUAAAUGCCGGCGGAUCCGCGCCCGCUCCGCUUUGUGCGGUGAACGCUCAUCCUGCUCAUCCCGGGCUGCGGCGGGACCGUCGUUCGGGGCGCUGUGCGGAGCCCGGCACCGGGGGCUGCUCCCGGCGCUGCGCCGAGCCCGAGGCGCUGAGAGUACAGGAGAUCCGGAGUGGGAAGGGAUACACAAGGACCACCAAGUCGAACCCUUAUGUGAAUGGCUCCUCUGGGGAUUGAACCCACACCUGGGCAUUCUCAGUACACUGCUCCAACCAAGCCAAUCUCAGCUCCUGGCAAUGUCCUGCCUAGGAUGGGAAUGCCAAGUGCCAGCAAGGCCAUUCCUAUGCAAAUACAGCUCCUUCUUUUAUGCUAAUGCUGCUUUCCACACCAGCCCCUGCAAUGGCCACAGGGCAGAGGCCAUGGCCAGCACCUGAUCAUGGAACAACACAGGGAGAAAUGAGCAAGGCAAGUCCUGAGGGUUCACUUGGUUCAUGGCCAAAGUUCUUCUGGAGAGUGUCAGGGCUGCUCCUGCCUACAGAGGGGCGUUUCCCACAGGUGCCCCGGGGAUGCCAGGGAGGUGCCUUUGCCCACAGUGCCUUUCUCCUGCCCCUCUCCAGCCCGAGGCCUCUUCUCCCUUCCCUGCCAGCUGCUGCCAAGGAAGGAGGACACAGUGAGUGCUGAGUUGACCUCCAAAUAGUCCUUCCCUCACCUUGAGAUGACCUGAGAUUUUACCCCCAAAAUGUCCCCAUCUGUCUCCUUCUGAGUUCCUCAUUUUUUACAAGGAAGCAUUCUUUCUCUGUUCUGGAGAUUACUACAAGAUUUGCCCCCAAAACUUUCCCCACCUGUCCACUACCUCUUUCCUCAUUUCUAUCUCCAUCUUUUCAUUCUUUGCCCUACAGAUGCUUUCAAUUUUUACCCCUCCGAACUUCCCUACCUGUCCAUAAGUGAUUACCUCAGUUUACCCCAUCAAGUGCAUUCUCUCUGCUACAGAUCACCUCAGAUUCUACCCCCAAAAUUUUCUGUACCUCUCCACCAC